UACGUAGGGUGCGCGCGUUAAUCGGAAUUACUGGGCGUAAAGCGUGCGCAGGCGGUUUUGUAAGUCUGUCGUGAAAGCCCCGGGCUCAACCUGGGAAUUGCGAUGGAGACUGCAAGGCUUGAAUCUGGCAGAGGGGGGUAGAAUUCCACGUGUAGCAGUGAAAUGCGUAGAGAUGUGGAGGAACACCGAUGGCGAAGGCAGCCCCCUGGGUCAAGAUUGACGCUCAUGCACGAAAGCGUGGGGAGCAAACAGG
rnacentral:rRNA from 1 species